GCUCAGUGGGUAGAGCAUGGUGUUUGCAACGCCAGGGUUGUGGGUUCGAUUCCCAC
rnacentral:tRNA from 1 species